ensembl:lncRNA
GGAGGCUGAGGCAGGAGAAUUGCUUAAACCCAGGAGGUGGAGGUUGCAGUGAGCCGAGGUUGUGCCACUGCACUCCAGCCUGGGUGACAGAGCAAGACUCUGUCUCAAAACAAAACAAAACAAAAAAGCAAAUAUUUGUACAUGAAAGUUCAUAGCAGCACUAUUCGUGACAGCCAAAGGUGGAAACCACCCAAAUGUCCAUCACCUGGUGAAGGGCUAUGUAAAAUGUGACAUGUACCCACGCAAUGGACUAUUAUUCAGACAUAAAGAGAAACGAAGGUCUGCUGUGUAACAAAGGGUAGAUGAACCUCAAAAACAUUAUGCUGGCCAGGCACGGUGGCACAUGCCUAUAAUCCCAGCACUUUGGGAGGCUGAGGCAGGAGGAUUGCUUGAGCCCCGGUGUUUGAGACCAGCCUGGGAAACAUGGUGAAACCCCGUCUCUACAAAAAAUACAAAGAUUAGCCAGGGAUGGUGGCAUACACCUUUAGUCUCAGCUACUUGGGAGGCUGAGGUGGGAGGAUCACUUGAGUCCAGGAGGUUGAGGCUACAGUGAGCUGAAAUUGUGCCGCUACACUCCAGCCUGGGCAACAGAAUGAGAUCCUGUCUCACAAAAAACAAAAUUAUCCUAAGUGAAUGACGCAUCACAAAAGGUCACAUAUUUUGUGAUCCCAUUCAUAUGAAGUGUCCAGAAUAGAGAAAUCCAUAGAGACAGAAAGCAGGUUUGUGGUUGCCUGGGGGUAGGGCCGGGGGAAUGAAGAGUGAGUGCUUAAUGAGUAUGGGUAUACCGUGAAUGUACUAAAUGAUUCUGAACUGUACCCUUCUUUUAAUUUAUUUAUUUUAAUAGUGAUGGAGGGCCGGGCACAGUGGCUCACACCUAUAAUCCCAGCACUUUAGGAGGCCGGGGCGGGUGGAUCACCUGAGGUCAGGAGUUUGAGACCAGCCUGGCCAACAUGGUGAAACCCUGUCUCUACCAAAAACACAAAAAUUAGCUGGGUGUUGUAGCGGGAGCCUAUAGUCCUACCGUCCUAGCUACUUGGGAGGCUGAGGUAGGAGAAUCACUUGAACCUGGGAGGUGCAGGCUGGAGUGAGCCGAGAUUGAGCCAUUACACUCCAGCUCGGGCAACAGAGCGAGACUCCAUCUCAAAACAAAACAAAACAAAACAAAAAUAGUGAUGGGGUCUCACCCUGAGCUCAAUCGAUCCUCCCAGCUCAGCCUCCCAAAGUGCUGGUAUUACAAGUCUGAGCUACCAUACCUGGCCACUAUACACUUAAAAAUGAUUAACUUUAUGUUGUGCGAAUUUCACCUCAAUUAUAAAAAGAAAGAAAGAAAAACAGAAAGCUCCAUGGAGAACUUAAUACGAGGCCCCUGGGUCCCAGCACUACGCAGUGACUCCCACUGCCGUUCUCUAUGAGGCCAUAGGUCGGUGGACUGUGACCAGCUUUUUUUUUCUUUUUUUUUUUUUAACAGGUUUUCCACCUGGUACAAGAAGAGUGGCCCAGAGAAAGGUCAGUUUAAGGCAAUUGGAUUUCCCAAGUCUCAAAGCAGGAAAUCUGGUCUGACAAGCACGGGAUUCACGUCUGAAAUUAGCCCUGCCCUGGAAAACCUGUGGCUGGGGGUUGCUGUCAUUAGAAAGAACCUGUACUUCCGGGUUUGUUUUUGUUGGGAAGGAAGGAGCGGAGCAGCCAACCUGGCUUCGCAGAGCUUCCAUAUUUAACCCAUCAGGGCCCGAGGCUCCCAGGUGUAGAAGCGACUUUAGAGGUACCUAUGAGGAAAUGGAAGCUCCAAGAAGGUAAAGACCUCUCAGGCCACAGAGCCAGUAAAUGGCUGAGCCGGGGUUAGGAGGAAGGAAACUAACAUAUUUAUAGCACCUGCCCUAUAUCCAGCGCCUCACCUUGCAAAGCAGGUGUUAGUAACCCCAUUCUGCUCAUGAGAUUCAGAGAGGCUUAGUGACUGGCCAACAUCACUGAGCUACUAAAAGGCAGAGAUACUAUUAAAACAUAGGCCUACAGCUGGGCAUGGUGGCUCACAGCUGUAAUCCCAGCACUUUGGAAGGUCGAGGUGGGCAGAUCACGAGGUCAGGCAUUCCAGACCAGCCUGCCCAAAUGGUGAAAACCUGUCGCUACUAAAUAUACAAAAAUUAGCCUGGCAGGGUGGCGUGUGCCUGCAAUCCCAGGUACUCAGGAGACUGAGGCAGGAGAAUAGCUUGAAUCCUGGGGGCGGAGGUUGCAGUGAGCAGAGAUUGCACCACUGCACUCCAGCCUGUGUGACAAGGUGAGACUCCAUCUCAAAAACCAAACAAACAAACAAAACAAAAUAAAACAAAACAAAAUAAAAAACUUGACUCUUCAACAAUCUACAGUUCUUCCUGGGCCCUUCUGCCAUGCUCAUCUGUGUAUCCCUAAUGCCUGAUACUGAGGAGUGUUCAAAACUUAUUUAAUAUCAGGAGGUUGAGGUGGGAGGAUGGCUUGAGCCCAGGAGGUCGAGGCUGCAGUGAGCCUUGAUUAUACCAUUGCACUCUAGCCUGGGCUACAAAGCAAAGCCCUAUCUCAGAAAAAAAAAAAAA